UACUUAUUUGUUCUUUUUUUUCUCUCCUUUUUUUUGUUUUUUUUUGCUUUCCACCGCUGCUGCUUGCUGCUUUUUUGUGUAACAGUAGGAAGAAAGUAC
rnacentral:ribozyme from 14 species